rnacentral:pre_miRNA from 1 species
AAUGGGAUAGCUAGGUCAAAUGGCGAUUCCAUUUCAAGUUUUCUGAGGAAUCUCCAUACUGCUUUCCAGAUUGAUGGUACCAAUUUGCUGUCCUACCAGCAAU